UGUGAGCUCGAUGAGUAGGGCGGGACACGUGGUAUCCUGUCUGAAUAUGGGGGGACCAUCCUCCAAGGCUAAAUACUCCUGACUGACCGAUAGUGAACCAGUACCGUGAGGGAAAGGCGAAAAGAACCCCGGCGAGGGGAGUGAAAAAGAACCUGAAACCGUGUACGUACAAGCAGUGGGAGCACGCUUAGGCGUGUGACUGCGUACCUUUUGUAUAAUGGGUCAGCGACUUAUAUUCUGUAGCAAGGUUAACCGAAUAGGGGAGCCGAAGGGAAACCGAGUCUUAACUGGGCGUUAAGUUGCAGGGUAUAGACCCGAAACCCGGUGAUCUAGCCAUGGGCAGGUUGAAGGUUGGGUAACACUAACUGGAGGACCGAACCGACUAAUGUUGAAAAAUUAGCGGAUGACUUGUGGCUGGGGGUGAAAGGCCAAUCAAACCGGGAGAUAGCUGGUUCUCCCCGAAAGCUAUUUAGGUAGCGCCUCGUGAAUUCAUCUCCGGGGGUAGAGCACUGUUUCGGCAAGGGGGUCAUCCCGACUUACCAACCCGAUGCAAACUGCGAAUACCGGAGAAUGUUAUCACGGGAGACACACGGCGGGUGCUAACGUCCGUCGUGAAGAGGGAAACAACCCAGACCGCCAGCUAAGGUCCCAAAGUCAUGGUUAAGUGGGAAACGAUGUGGGAAGGCCCAGACAGCCAGGAUGUUGGCUUAGAAGCAGCCAUCAUUUAAAGAAAGCGUAAUAGCUCACUGGUCGAGUCGGCCUGCGCGGAAGAUGUAACGGGGCUAAACCAUGCACCGAAGCUGCGGCAGCGACGCUUAUGCGUUGUUGGGUAGGGGAGCGUUCUGUAAGCCUGCGAAGGUGUGCUGUGAGGCAUGCUGGAGGUAUCAGAAGUGCGAAUGCUGACAUAAGUAACGAUAAAGCGGGUGAAAAGCCCGCUCGCCGGAAGACCAAGGGUUCCUGUCCAACGUUAAUCGGGGCAGGGUGAGUCGACCCCUAAGGCGAGGCCGAAAGGCGUAGUCGAUGGGAAACAGGUUAAUAUUCCUGUACUUGGUGUUACUGCGAAGGGGGGACGGAGAAGGCUAUGUUGGCCGGGCGACGGUUGUCCCGGUUUAAGCGUGUAGGCUGGUUUUCCAGGCAAAUCCGGAAAAUCAAGGCUGAGGCGUGAUGACGAGGCACUACGGUGCUGAAGCAACAAAUGCCCUGCUUCCAGGAAAAGCCUCUAAGCAUCAGGUAACAUCAAAUCGUACCCCAAACCGACACAGGUGGUCAGGUAGAGAAUACCAAGGCGCUUGAGAGAACUCGGGUGAAGGAACUAGGCAAAAUGGUGCCGUAACUUCGGGAGAAGGCACGCUGAUAUGUAGGUGAAGUCCCUCGCGGAUGGAGCUGAAAUCAGUCGAAGAUACCAGCUGGCUGCAACUGUUUAUUAAAAACACAGCACUGUGCAAACACGAAAGUGGACGUAUACGGUGUGACGCCUGCCCGGUGCCGGAAGGUUAAUUGAUGGGGUUAGCGCAAGCGAAGCUCUUGAUCGAAGCCCCGGUAAACGGCGGCCGUAACUAUAACGGUCCUAAGGUAGCGAAAUUCCUUGUCGGGUAAGUUCCGACCUGCACGAAUGGCGUAAUGAUGGCCAGGCUGUCUCCACCCGAGACUCAGUGAAAUUGAACUCGCUGUGAAGAUGCAGUGUACCCGCGGCAAGACGGAAAGACCCCGUGAACCUUUACUAUAGCUUGACACUGAACAUUGAGCCUUGAUGUGUAGGAUAGGUGGGAGGCUUUGAAGUGUGGACGCCAGUCUGCAUGGAGCCGACCUUGAAAUACCACCCUUUAAUGUUUGAUGUUCUAACGUUGACCCGU
rnacentral:rRNA from 1 species